UUGGCCUCUUUUCAAUGUUGUAAUAUUCUCGGGGAAGUAAUCUUUGCUCAUAUAUAUAAUAACUAGAUUUUAACCCGCGGUACACCGCGGAAACAAUUUAUUUUUUAAAAUCAGUAUAUAUAAAAGUUUGCAAAUUAUAUCUAUCUAUAAAUUAUUUUUAUUUUAUAGUUUACUGUUGUUAUUAAGUAACGUCCUUCCAAACCCGUUCCGUCAAACCUGUCCCGUAAAAAAAACCCGCAGUACACCGCUAAUUUAAAUAUAUAAUGAAAAUAAAUGUUUUACGGGAUUGCAAUUGUAUUUUAGUUUGUCAAACAAAUUUUUGUUUUAAAUAGUUGUCGAAAUCUAGUUCAAAUGUUGGAGAAAUAAGUUUAGUGAAUUGAUAAGAAAUGUAUUUAGGUGUGUUUUGCUCAUUUUAAGUGAUUGUAAUUGUAUUUUGGUCUGUCAAAUAUUUU
rnacentral:sRNA from 1 species